CGCGGGCUGGCUCAGUUGUAACAAAUUCAAUCGAACGGCUCGCUUGGCAACUCCUCAUAUCAUGUCAUGUCCCUUGCGUGCACGCAAGGUGAAGCGUGAUGGUUUCCUGUGCAGCAUACCGUGGAUGUGGAAGUUGUUGUGCAUGCUAAAAAAGUAUAUUGCUCCCCCGAUUGCCUCGCAAGUGGUAGUCGGUGGACGAUGCCAGUGCUCCUCGAUGUCCUCACUCACCCGAGACUCUUUGCGAGCACGGUAGUGAUGGGCAUUCGGGUUCUCACUCAUCUCUCGGAUGCGGAACGUGUUAAUGGUGCGUGGUCCAACGACCUCUAUGUGCCCAAUCGAUGUUGCACCCCCGAUCGAAUGACGGUCAUGCCCCGUCACGACUGACCCCUAGCCCCGUGCUGGGGCAGCCAAGCGGCGGCAUUGACGUCGUCAAUGGAUGCUACCUGGUUGAUCCUGCCAGUAGUCAUAUGCUUGUCUCAAAGAUUAAGCCAUGCAUGUGUAAGUAUGAACUAAUU
rnacentral:misc_RNA from 1 species